GGAGAUGUAGCUCAAUGAUAGAGCAUCUGUCUGUCAUAUAGGAAGCCUUGGUUUAAUCCUCAGUAUCAGCA
rnacentral:tRNA from 1 species